GCGCAGGCGCCCUAGGCUGAUCCGCAUCUAUUUUUGCGCCUAAACCAAGGUCAUCUGCUAAUCCCCGGUCCGCGCCCUGAGGGGGCGUCGCACACCUGCGGGCCCCGCGCGCUGGGCGGGGCCCGGCGGGGCGGCAGGGCGGUGUUGGGGUGCGUGCGUCACGGCAGGACCGCGGGGCUGCAGCCCACCGAACCCGGACCUCGCGGCCUGGCGGGCGGGGUCGCUCGCGAGCUGCGGCGGGCUACAUUCAUUCGCGCGGCCCCGCCUCCCGCCGGCUGCAGCGGCUCACGCGCCGCGUCUGGGAGAGUGCGAGGCCGAGGCUGAGCUGAGCCCCCCGCCCGCCGUCUCCCGACUCGGGCCUGCGCAGGCCAGGUGCGCGGUGCCUCCAUCUUGGGAGCCCGCCCGCCCCCUCCGUGGCCCGCGCCUCGCAGCCGCCGCCGCCGCCGCUGCCGUCGGCGUCGCCGUCCCCGCUCCGGCCGCCCGCGGGGCCAGGUCCCCGGAGCUCUGACGCUUGCGCGCCCGUGGCCACCUCGGAACAGGUAGGCGCCCGUGGCCACCUCGGAACAGCUCAGACUGGCCUUGAACUCCUGACUAGACUCCUGCCUCGGCCUCUAUGGAGCAUUAGAAUUACAGGUGUGUUCUUCCAUGCCUGGCUGGGUUUUUUUUUGUAGUUGUUUUUUAAAUUGUGUUUAGAAAUCACAGCUUCUCUUUUUUUCUGGUUCUCUUUUGUGUGCAGAUUUGAAGACCUAAGUAGUCACAUGGAAACAGGAUUGUUUUGCAUUUGAAUAACAUUUUUGUAUAUUAAAAAAAACCUUCGACUAACAAUAAAAAGUUAUUUUUCUGUCCGGAAGUUUUAGGCACAAAGGGUAAGGAGUCCUGUUGCAUGCUGCAGUUGCCUUCCACUGGCCUGAGUAAGGAGGCUUUGUGACAACAAUCCCUCAGUGCAAGUUGCACUUUCUCCUGCGCUGAUAUCUGAUAGUGAAUUAGGUGCUUUUAGGUCAGACUCAUGAACAUUUAUUUAUUUAUUUACUUCUUUAUUUUUGAUACUGGGAUCGAACUCUCAUAUGAACAUUAAAAUAAUGAUAGGAAUUUUAAUGUUAGGAAAAUAUAUAACCUAAUCUGUCUAAUCUAAUAGAAACUUGUAGUUUAGGUCUAAAUAGUUCAGGUGAAUAAAAUGUUUUUAAAAAAAGGCGAGUAGAAAUUCUAAUACAUACAUCCCCUUGGAAGAACCUUCAACCAUCAUACAGAACAGAAUAAACAGGGACUCGAAAAGAUAAAGUUAGCAUCAGGUAGCCCGAGAUGGAAGCUGGCUGUGUUGCCAUCGCCUCACUGUUCCCUUCUGUUCUGUUUGGGGCAGACUCUUGCUCCGUAGCUCUCAGGCUGACCUUGAGCUCUCAGUCCUCCGGCCUCAGCUUUCUGAGUGCUGGGAUCGCAGGCACAUGCUAGAUAUUUCACAGCUAAUGUGAACAUUCAUUCAUCUCUUGCCACGCUGCUGAGCCAUUUGAGAAUGUUUUCACAACACUUUAUUCAGGAACUUCAGUUUUUUUAGGGAAAGGGUUAGUGGAGAAAUCAACCGUAACUAUUUUCCUGGGCUCACCCUUACUAAAAACUGAGUCACUCCGUGAGACCAAAAAGCUCUUAUGAAAAUGAUUUCUGAGAAGAAUUAUGGUGCUGUAAGUAAGGUGCGAAAUGGAAGUGUUAGAAAGCAAACGAAGGGAGCAGGCCGAGAGUCCCAGCGCUCUGGGGACAGGCAGUCCAACUCUCCCUGGGCCACUGAGCAGCUUCCACGGCCCUGUCCCAAAACAUAAAAAGGCUGGUGGCUGCAGCUGUGGCUUCAGUCCUCAGUACCAAACAAGAACAUGGAACACAAUGGGGAGCAAGAAAGCAAAAGAAGAAAUAAACAAGCAAAGCCUUUGGAAUACGCCUGCGUUUUUACCUGAUGCCACAGAUGAAAGGCAGAAGAAUCCAAAGAGAAAGGAAAGAAGAAAAAACUCACAACAUAAAAAGAAUGCCUCUCCACUUGGGAUUCAGAUAGAGUCACUAUGUUAUUCAGGCUCGUCUUGAACUGAGUAUGUCCAGCCAGGCUGGUCUUAAACUUAAGGCAAAAUCCUCCUGCCUCAGCUUCCCCAGUGCUGAGAUUACAGGCAUGUGCUGCCACACUUAGCUGUAAGUUUUGUUGUUGUUUUGCUGUGUUGGGAGGGUUUUUUUCUUUUUUCUUUUUUUCCUUGACACAAGGUCUUGCUACAUAGUGCAGGCUGAUCUUGACCUCACUAUGUAGUCCAGACUGGCCUCAGACUUCAAACUUCUGGCAAUCCUCCUGCCUCAGCUUCCUAACAUGUGCUACCGUGUCCAGCCGAGCUGUAAUGUCUUACACAUUUUACUUACUUUCUAACUUCCUUUUCAGUCACUGUUCAUUAGGCCUAUGCAAAGUAUCUUCCUAAUAAGGUGAAUCAUGGAAACUUCUACCUGGCAAAACAUACCUUGGUAUUUGGCAUAAUAAAACAAUGUUCAAAAACUGUUUAGGGUCACAAACUUCAACCUUCUCAUGGUAUAACUAGGCCUCUUCCACCUGGAUAAUUCUGGGUGGUCCGAUUUUGGAGAGGGAGUAAUUCAACCCGAAGUGGAUACUCAGCAAGGUUCUUUGUCUUUGUCUCUAUAAAAACUAAAAAACGUAGAGGGGUGUGUUUCUACACACCUGUAAUCACAGCUACUGAGGAGGCUGAAGCUAGAGGACUCCAAGUUUGAUCCUAGCCUUGGCAACUUAGUAAGGCCCUGUCUCAAAAUUAAAAUAUAAAAUGAAAGGCUCAGUGGUAGAGCAUCCCCGGGCUUCAAUCCCCAGCACUGCCAGGUAAAACCAACAAAGCAAAAUGACACAAACAAAGGAAAAAAGCACAGCACAACAGCAGACCUGAUCAGUGUUAGCAGAAAAACACGCAAGCACUUACUUGGGAAACCACCUGGCAUGUUCCUGCCAGGGGUCGUCCCCUUCUUCCCAGUUUCCUAAGCAUCCGCCGCAGGAGAAGCACUGCACGGUGUCCCUGUGACCUGUGGACACAGGACAGCGGCUCAGGGGCCAGCAGCGGCCCUGAGGGGCUCCCGGAGGUGACAGCUCUCCUCAGGGCCCAGCUGCCCCGCGUGCUGUUCCUCCAGGAGCGCUCGGCCACCCGGUCAGCCCUGCUGCGCCCCGCGAGCCCCGGCCUACGCACAUCCAGUCCACUGAACUCCGCAGCUACAAACCCUCGCUGUUAGUUUCUCCACGCUGAUUCUGUAAAAUGCAGGCCCUUUUUUUGAUUCUUGGUGAAAACAAAAACUGAAAGAUCUCUGAGUCUUGAUGAAAACAACUGUGACUUGGGAAAGAAAGGGGCAAAUGGGUUGGUGCGGAAUUAGAGUUCAUCCAUGCCUCGCAUGAAGCAGCCGCUCAGUAAGCCACGGUCGCUCUUAGGAAGCCUCGGUCUCCUGUCACCAUCCAUGGUGAGGCCAAGACAUAAACACACAGGCGCCGGGACGGAGUUCAGCGGCACACGCACCUGCCUGGCAAGUGUGACAUUGUGUUCGAUCCCCUGUACCGAGAGAGACAGAGACAGACAGAGAGACAGAGAUACAGAGACAGAGAGACAGAGAGAUUGAUUUUAAAAAACCUUCAAAACCUGUAGGAAUUUUAAAAAUCAAAGAAAGCUUAUGUGAGAGCAGUGAAGAGCUCCUCAUUCAUGAGGAGACUGGAUUGAACAGCAGUAUCAGGCUAAAGAACAUAGUCUGUGUCACCUAAGGCCCCUAUAUAUGGAAAGAUAGUCUUCUAGUUUUAUAUACCUUUGACGAAUUAACACAAGGUGCACAAAACAUCAAGAAAAAUUACUGAAGUGGAAUUUGGGGGGGGGUUGCUUGCUUUUGUUUGUUUAUUUAUUUAUUGAGUCAGGGUCAUGCUAUGUAGUCCAGGCUGGCUUUUAACUCACUGUGUAGCCCAGACUGGCUUAAAAUUCUGGGCAAUCCUCCUGUUUCAGCCUUGCAAGUGCAGGAUUACAGGCCUGUACCACCACACUCUGCUUGAAGCAGAAUUUUAACAAAACAGAUUUUUGUCUAAUACAACACAUUGAGCAAGCAAUGAAGGAUUCACAAAGCAGCUCAACAGCAACCAAAGCAUGGAACCUCAAGUUAAAACUUGGGGAGAAGCCCUGUAGGAGAUGAUUUCAAGUUACCUGUAAAGACCAAGCCAGAAGCUGCGAGGCCCUGCGGGGACACUGCGUGGACGCAGAAGGGCCAGUCCUGGAAGGACGCGAGCCUGGCCUCCUGCUCGCAGUACCUCGUCGGCCACCGCUCGGCUCCUCCACUGGGGUCUUCACCUGCACAUCGUACUUGCCCAUGUUGCCCACGUCCCUGCCCAGCAGGAACUGGCAGCUGGGGCGUAACUCCCUGCGAUGCUCCACGGGGACCCUCCCGCAGCUGCAGCCGCAGAGGACCAAGCUGCAGCAGAAGCACUGAACCCGGACUUGGGCUUCACCCGGUGCAGUAAAAGCCUGCUGCUGCCAUGUCCUGCGGCGUGCAGGAGCUGUACGGUGGCAGGUGGCGACGGUCCUCGGCCGGCGGCCUUGCUACACGUCUGGGGUUGCAGCCCUCACUCAUCCGCCUGCUCUCUGUGCUCCUCCUCCUGCAGCUUCAGCAAGGCCACGGCGUCCACGCCCAGGAGCGCCCACAUUUCCGGGGCCAGGCCUCGUCAAACUGGAGAUCCUCUUCUCCGCCUCGUCCAGGGCGCUCAUUUUCUGAAACAAGAGUUAGCGUCCCUGUCAAGGAGGCACAAACGCAGGAGAAAGCUGUGCUCCAGAGCAACGGUUUGAUGAAAUUACUCGUUUUUAAAACGACGUUGUUCUCACUGUGUCCACUUUCCAAGCAGUAGUGCUCUGUCCCCAAGCUCAAGAGGCCCCAUAAUUAUGGCUAUAGAUGCUAUGCAUUUCAUUUUAUAAACUACUUACCUAAUCAAAAAUUAUAAAACAUCAUCAUAUUGAUAAAUACAUAGCUCUUUGUGCUUUUGAAUGGCUUCAUGUAGGACACUUAGGUUGUUGCCAUUUUUCUCUUCAUCAACAAAGUUCAAUACGCUUUAAACAAAGUCUUUGUUCUUAAUCUUUAUUUCCCAGGCUACAUUUCCCAAAGAAUAAUGACUGAGGCAGUCACACCCUUUUUGGACUCCUGGAGUUUUUUGGUUGAACUGGGGGUUGAACACAGGGCUUUUCAUUGAGCUACAUCCCAGGCUUUUUAAUCUUUUUACUUUUGAGACAGGGUCUUGCUAAGUAGUUAAGUUGCCCAGGCCAGCCUUGAACCUGUGAUCCUCCUGCCUCAGCUUCCCAGAGUGCUGGGAUCACAGGUGUUCACUAUCACCCCCAGAUUCUACCAUAUUUUUUUAAUAAACAGUUCAUUAUACUAGAACAUCUGCAUCUACUAUGUUCUUAACUAGGGCUGAAUCUCUUGGCUGUUUCCUAAAUAUCUUGUACUGUUACCAAGUGAAUACAUAGUUGGGUAGGCUUAAAUAAUUGUAAAGAUUCUCAGGUGAGUGUGGUAGCACAUGCCUGUAAUCCCCGCACUCAGAAGGCUGAGGCAGGAGGGUUGCUGCAAGUUCCAGGCCAUGAGUUCAAGGCCAGCCUUAACUAUAUAGUGAGACCCUGUCUCAAAAAAGGCCAAAAAAAAAAAAAAAAAGGAUUCCCAUCUUACAUUACUCAUUAAAAUCAGAUGAAGACCAGAUUUUCUGCAUGAAAUCUUUUCUUAAAGGGUUGGGCAAGGGAUGUGUUAAUUCAGAUAUCAUGUUUAUUCUAACAAUGUGACAAUGAAAGAUGAUACAACACUUAAAGUUUGCUCUUAGAACGUCCAACUUUGAGUCACUCCCUACUUUUUAAAUCACAACUUUAUUGAGAUAUAAUCAACAUACCAUAAAUCACCCAUUUAAAAUUUAUUACUUAAUAGAGCUGAACGUAGUCGUAGACUUGUGCAGUCAUCCCCACAAUCAAUUUUAAACUUAUCCCUCUCCAAAGAAAUGCUGUAUUCAUUAGCAGUAGCUUCCUAUGUUUCCUACACCCACCCAGCCCUAUUCCAGGACUAAUGUACUCUCUAUAUAUUUAUUUUGAGCCAGAUGCAAGGGCACACACUUGCAAUCCCAGCAAUGAGGGGGCUGAGGCAGAAGGAUCACUGCAAGUUCAAGGCCAGUGUGGUCUAUAUAACGAACGAGUUCAAAACAAGCCUGAACUACAUGAGAGACCCUAUCUCAAAAAAAUCAAAAGGAAAGAAAAAUUCAAUAAUAACAAGAAAUAUACUUAUUGCCAACAUUUCAUAUGAAUCAUACAACAUGUGGUCUUUGAGGGCUGGGGAUGUAGCUCAAUGGCACAGCGCCUGCCUGGCAAGCGCAAGGUGCUGAGUUUGAUUCUUGGUACCAGGAAAAAAAAAAAAACGCUUUGUAAUCUGAGCAAGUGCUUUGAAGACAAUGCCACACAAUAUGUUUACCAUUGUUAAUCUCCUAUUAUUGUGUCUUGAAAUUCUCUAUCAUUUUUCUCUUAAACAGUAAUGUUUGUUUUUCCUAAACAAUUGAUGUCUAGGCACAUUCGUUUUAACGUUAAGGGUCAGCCUGGGGUCUCACCUAUUAGGUACUAGGGUAGCGUUCCUUUUCGUGGUCAAACCCUGCUCCGUUCUGUGGCUGUGUUACAUUUCAUCUCCCUACCUGUCCACACCGGGUUUGUUUACACUCGGGGCUGUGAACAGCGCUAAAGUGCACUCUGAGCACGUGUUACCUGUGGAAGUGUCUCGCUCCUGCAGCCACAGCGGCACUGUCCCAUCACAUUCACAGGAUGGGCACCCCCUGACUUCUCAUCAGCAGGCCUGCACGCAGCAACGCGUUUGUGUUCCGGCCCCAAAUGCCAGUGAGGUUUUCCCGCCACUCUCAGGCUAUUUUAUCUUUGCCAGUACAAAGGUCCUCAGGUUCCUGGCAAGGGCAGCACCAGAACUCACCAGCCUCUUCUUCACAGCAGAUUGCUUUGAAGGGACAGUAGUUUUGGCUUUUGUGUCAUUACAGGGUUUAUUUGCUAGUAAAUUAGGAAUCUAUUGUGGUCUUGGACGGUAUGAGGAGAGGUUGGAGCAGACAGACCACCUAACCGCUCCAUCAGUGGUGGUGAGUCUGUGGCGUGCUUAUUGCUGUGUUGUUUUUUUAAAGACAAAACACAGUAAUGUUUAAGUUGUUUUUCCUAAAUUAAAACCUCAGUACUCAGAUUUAAUUGCAGUGCUGGCAUUUUGUGAUAAACAAAUGGGUUUGGAGUUGUACUUUGUUUUUUAUUUUUCUUUUUAUGUUUAUUUAUUUUUGGUACCAGGGAUCAAACUCACGAUCUCAUGUUUGCUAGGCAGCGCUUACACUGCUGAGCUAAAUCCCUAAUCCUGCUUUGUUUUUUACAGGGUCUCUCUGCAUAGUUCGGGCUGAACUUGAACUCAUGGUGAUCCCCUUGCCUCUGCCUCCUGAGUGCUGGGACUAUAGGUGUGUGCCACCAUGCCCACAUAGGAUUGCAGUACCAUCUUCAGCAAUGACAAAAGGUUGAACAAUCGACAGAAACUCAUGAGGCUCUCUGUAGUACACCUACCUAAGGCUUUGAUGAAGCUCCAAACUCGCGCCAGACCAAAGGAAGCACCAGGCGCAGCUUAGUUCCUGGGAGCCUUUCUUAGUCCCAUGAGACCAGCUUCAUCUCUAAUAACAAACCACUCUGAUGUAAACUCUGAUCACAGCUCCUCCAACGUGCCCUGGUCUCUCACACUUAGCCAGUGUCCCAUUAAUCAAGUCUUGGGACAUUCAUUCCACUUGGCCAGUGAAUGCCCACAAAGCUGGGGCCUCCCCAGAGAUAAUUAAGCACAAGCUCACAGCACUCUGACUGAGAUCAGCAUUGUGAGUGGCCAAUUUUGCUAGUCCUGGGACCAUUUCCAGGGAGAAAAGAUGAUUUUUGGAGGCCCUUUCCAGACCUGAUGUUCUUUGACUAAAAGUAUUAAGAACACCAACAGGGAAAAUAUGUCACAGAACUAGGAUUUAAACCCACGUCUAUGUGAUCCCAGGGUCUGUCCUGCCUCUUCCCCACCAGGCUGCCUCCAAAGAGAGAAACAAGAACACACACAGACAGAAGAGCCAGGAUUGUGCAGUGCUUUCUUGGAGGAGGCUGAAGCAGCAGCUGUAACCCCUGGCCUUUGGGAUCAGGGGGUCUCCAUGGGGCUCUGAAGGCACACAGCCCCCUCACUUCUUGUGAACAGUGUGGACUUGCUGGCCAGACAGGUGGCCUGCCUUCCGGAGCAACCAGUAAAGGUGGGCAGGGCUGCCACUGUGAUCCCCUUGACAAGGCCUUGCAAACAUUUAAGGAUCAAGUGUUGGAAACCUGGACUGCAUUUCUGUGCUGGUUAUGAACUGCAGCAGGAUCACUAUCUGAGAAGGUAUUCUGUCCUUUCCAGGGCCUCUUUGGGGUUCACAUGUUAGGGUCACUGCAUGUGUUCCCGCCUUCCCACAGGGGGUGCACAGAAGGGUGGGACCUUCAAUGCCAGAGGCACCACACCUCUCCAGUAGGCUUGUGCAGCAAGAGUCAGGCCUCAGGGAGCCAUGGGCUCUUUCUUCUGCACAGGGCAGAGUUGAGCCUGGGUCCCCAUCACUUCCUAACACAGGACGGAUCCUUGGAGCACUCAGGAGGAAACUGGAACCCUUUUCUCAAAUGAUUGUUUCUUGUAAAGGGCUGGAAUGUCUUUUUUGAUUACAGACACUAUAGAAGCUUAGAGCAAAAGCCUGUACAGUCACUCCCUAGACAGCGAUGCAGCCACAUCUGCAGCCUGACCUAUGUGUGCACUCUGAGUCUUCUGAAGGCCACGAGCCUCUUCCACAUCUGUACUAUGUGGCAGGGCACUGGUGAUAUUACAGAGCCUCUCUACCCAGGAAUCUGUGCUGACAGUUUCACCGGCACAGCAGAGGUGCCCAGGAAGUGUCACCAUGCAUAAAGGCUGUAACUGCUCACCUCGGCUGUGUUCACAGACACCAAAUAGGGCUCACCGUGCGGCUGCUUGGGUGCAGCUGCCAAAUGCUGGCUCCCUGCUCUCUGGCAGCGCCAGCUCUCCUGUGGUUUCGCCAGGCUAUGGGUUUUGACCAAACUGGAUUGUGAAAUCUCUCUUGAAACUCAUUUUCAAAGUUAUGCAUGAAGCAGAGCAUUUAUGGUCUUUGCCCAUUUGUAUCCCUUGCCUGCAUUUACAUUACGCAUUUCCCCUUGUAGAUCUCAACACGUCCUGAUGGUGGCAGUGCGUCUGUCGACUCUUUCAUCAUUUCCCUGUAACGUAAACAGUUUUAUAUUUUGUACAUAUUCAACUUUAUAAUGUCCUUUAAAAUAUUUAAAAAUACUACAUGUCUGAAAAGAAAAGCUUGUGCUAAUAUUGUUUGAACAAUGAAAAGCAAGUAUCUCGUACUUAGAGUAACUAAUUUAAAGAUACCAAUGGCAAUGUAUUAACCAUUGUUACCCUCUUCUCUUGUUUUGAAAUUUUAUUUUCUUAUCUUUAAAAUUGAAAAAGAAUACUAAGUGUCAGAAUAUUUGUAUAUUUGUGUCACAUGACCCUUUGUGAAAAUGUACGUGGCUCCUCUGCCGGGCAUCUACCUGGGAACACUAAAUUGUGUGUGCUUGCCUUUCUUCCAGAGCCUGCAAUAGUUAACCUGCCCUUCUCUGUGCUAGCAUCAUUAAAGAUGGCUGCCCCUUUAAAACAUAAAAAAAAGAGCAGGAAUGGGAAGAGCCAGUGGAGAUGUGGAAGAAGCAUUUCUGCUCACCAAAUGGACGGUCCCCAGGUCCUGGUUCCUGGAGGGAGAGCGCUGGCUGAAGAAAGAAGAAUGAGAGGGUGCAUCUCAAGGGAAGAUGCCCUGUGCUUCUCCAGUAACAGGGAGCAGAGUUUUAGGGGAGGAACUGAAAGUGAAAACAAAUGGCACAUUGGAGAGCUUACUGGUACGGUCUUGAGGAAGCAGGGUCAGUCUGGACUCUACAGGAAGCACGAAACCGACCAAGUCUUGCACCACAAAGUAGAGUCCACCAAACAAAUGUAUACCCACUUCAGGAAAAGAAAAUGGCACACUCUUUCCUCCACAGAUGGGGUCACCCUCAUGUGAGAGAUGCUAGAGGAUGCCACGCAUCACAGAAAACCCACUGCACCGCCGGCCCUGAGAGGAGAAAUCAAAAAUGUGUGUGCAGCAAUCUCAGUGACUAAGGUGACACACACACGGGUUUGCUGUAGUAAUAAAUGUCAGGAAGCUGGUGGACACCACUGAGAGCGCCUUUUGUAACUGUAGAGGCCAAAGGUAAAAAGGUAACGUACUAAUCUCAUGAUGUCUGAAUACAUUUCGUAUUAAAAUAUUUAUAUAAGUUUUGGGCUUGGGAUACAGCUCAGUGGCACAAUUCCUGCCUGGCAAGAGUAAGGUCAUGAGUUUGAUUCCUGGUGUAAAAAAAUUAUAUGAAUUUUUCUUUUCCUAAAGUGUACGCACAUUUUUUAUUUUUGUCUUUUUUGUUUUUAUUGGUACCAGGGAUCAAACUCACGACUGCACACUUGCAAGGCAGGUGCUUAUGCCACUGAGCUAAAUCCCCAGCCCCAUGUACACACAUUUUUUUGGUGAACUCUACUUAUUCUGAAGUUGGUAAAGAUUGGUUGUUACGUUGUUGGUGUGUUUUUCUUUGAUGGUGACAAGUUUCUACUCUGGUAUCUUUUAGGAUUUUCUUUUUAACUUUGAGGUUAUAAAAUUCCCAAAUAUUGUGUCUAGGUAUAGGGUUUCUGUUUUGUUUUGUUUUGUUUUGUUUGAAUCAGGGUCUUAUUAUGUAGUUUAGGCUACCCUUGAAGUCAUCAUGUGGGGGGGAGUAAAAUUUAUAGAGAUCCUCCUGCCUCAGUCUCUCAAGUCACCUUCUAUCAUUUCUUUGCCAAUUUGCCUUUUUUGGGGGGUAUUCUCACUUGUUAGGUGGGAAUUUAGUCGGUCACUUAUGUUUUUUUUCCUCACACAUAUUCUUAGUGGUUUUGCCCUAAUUACUGGAUUUCCUCUUUUAUUUUCCAAUAUUUCAAUAUUUUAAAAUUUUACCAAUUUCCCACAGUUCUCAUCUUCUUUUCCAUUUUUUCACAUCUAAUUUUUCUUAUCCAAUGCAAACUUCUUGAAUGUUUCAUAUGAUAUUAGCUCCUUUGAAUUAUCUAUUUCUUCCAUGAUUGGUAUAAUUUACCUUGAUGUUUAUUUUUCCCAUUACCAGAUAUCUUCAAGUGUGUAGAGAUCCUUAAUUUUCCAAUCAUGUUUAAGAAGUGGAAGAUUUAAAAACAAACUGGGGCUGAGCAUUAUGGCACAAGCCUGUCAUCCCAGCACUCAGGGGCAGGAGGAUGACUGUGUGUUUGAAGCCAGUCUGGGCUACAAAGUGCCUGAACUGAACAGUGAAACCCUGUCUCAAAAACUAAAAUAAAAUAGCAAAUUGGUUAUAAUAAUUGUUUAAGAGUCUAAUGAGGGAGGGGCUGGGGAUUUAGCUCAGUGGCAUAAGUGCCUGCCUAGCAAGCACAAGGUCUUGAGUUCAAUCCCCAGUACCACAAGAAAAAAAAAAAAAAAAAAAAAAGAAGAAUCAAAUGAGGGGGAGUAGCUUACUGGUAGAGUACUUGCCUGGCAUACAUGUCCUGGGUUUGAUCCCAGCAUCAGGGAAAACACCAAAUUAGGAACUACAUAAAUGUGAUGUGAAUGUUGGCCUUUCAGUUUAGAAAGAAUAAAUCAGGAAGCCAAGAUUUAGCCUCAAGAAGACUAGGUGUCAGAGAAGCAUCUCAGAAAAUGAUCUCAGGUUAUCUGGAAAGAUAAAGAUAGCAGCUGAAAGCUCACUUGGGACAGUCCUUUGGCCUGGAAAGGCUGUGCCCUUAACUUGUCAGGACUGUGACUGUCUAGGCAAUGCCAGUAUUGAAUUAAACUGCAGAACAUCUAGCAGGCGCCCUGUACUGCAGCAUGAAUACCUAGAGGCCUGGACGAGACUCCUCACCCUGCAUGAGCCCUGUAGUGGCCUAACUUGGGUUGCCAGGUACGGAGGCAGCAAUGGCACGGAGAACAGAAAAUAAGAGGUGAGGGAGGAAGAGCACCAAGCUCCGUCCCUGCUCGGGCCAUGUGGCGUGCCUGCGCACCUCAGUGCCUCCCUGCCUCUGCCUCGUGGAGGAAGACCGCCGAGCCCUGCCCUGGCUCAGGCCACUGAGCCACUGAGUACGCCUGCGACCCAGCAUACUCCUCCAGUGUGCUGACCCAGAGGGCGCCCCCACCCACCCUGGCUCAACCCGCUGCCCUCAGCUACCCUCCCCAUCUCUGAGACCAAGCACUGCUGUGAACGUUUGGCUCCCACUCUCCCUCCCAGAACCUUGAACUGCAGUGGACUGGCAGUGCUGGUUUGACAGGAGACUUCGUGGCCCCUUGUCCAGACAGAGGACCCUGGAAGGUUCCAGUCACUACUACCCAACAAUCGGGCAAAUAUCAACUACACAGUAGGACCCUGGGACAUACACUGCCAACAGUUGUGACCAUUGGGAUUAAAUAACCAGAUAUUGGCCCAGAAGAUGAAAAUGACAAAAUGAAAAACCAAAAUGCAAUCUCAAACAUCUAGUCCAUCGGGUGCAAGAACAGGGGAGAGCGAAAUGGAGGACUUUAAAAGUCAUACGCCAGAAAUCUCUGAUAAGGUAGCAAACAAAGUAAAGAAACAAAUCCCUGAGGCUAUAGGGGAAAUCAAAUUAAAAGUAAUGUCUUAUGUAAAGACAGAAAUAACAGCCUUAGUAAAGGAUUUGCUCAACAUAGCUAGGGAACAAAUAGAUUAAAAAAAAAUACAGGAGCAUGGGAAAUUGAUUGAAACUUUGAAUGAACAAUGUGGAAAACAAACAGAAUCCAGGAAACAAAUUCAAAGAGAUAGCCAAGAAACAAAAAAUUCUAUUUUUUCUAUUUAUUUUAUUCUAUCACAUUGUCUCUCUAGUGUAAACAAUAAUAAAAACUGACAGAAUAAUUGGAUCCAAAAAAUAUAAUAGAUAUUGUGAAAGUGAAAGGGAAGUGCUCUAAAGCAUACAAUGGAAUGUACAUUGUGUAAGAUGACCAUAUUACUGAAUUUCUGCUGGAACAUUGAACAGAACGAUUUGCACUGUCAAUGUUGAGUGUCUAGCCACUAUUUAUGCUUUGAUUUUGUGACUUUGGCAACUGUUUUUUAAGAUGACAAUGAGUAAUGUAUAUACUAGUGAUUCUAUGAUGAUGAUUUUUUUUUUUUUUUUUUUUGUCUUUUUCCUUUUUAUUGGUACGGGGAUCGAACUCAUGACUACCUGCUUGCAAGGGAGGCGCUUAUGCCGCUGAGCUAAAUCCCCAGCCCCGAUGAUGAUUUUUUAAAUUCAGUAUUGUCCUACCCUUCUUUUCUGUUUUUCUAUUUUCUUUAAUUUUAUUUUCUUUCUUUGAGAAAAAAGAGAAUAAUAUGCAACAUAACAAACAUUCUUAAAUUUCUUUCAUUCUGUUUUGAAACCUAUAUUGUUAUUCUUUUGAGUUUGCUAUUGUUUAUGUCUUUUGCUUUUUGUUUUACUUUUUUGACUUUUCUCUUUUUUAAAUAAAAAAAGUAAAAGAAAAUAAGGGGUGAAUUGAAAAUCCGUGCAUGGGACAGUCACCUGGGUCUGUCUUGUCAUCGGAAUAUUUGACAUACAGGUAUUACCAUGAGAUCAAAACAUUCUUAAGAAAAUUUCCCCCACUCCCACUCUCAAACUAAAUAUUCUGCUUUAGCAGACCUAGAGAACUAGUAUGUGCAUUGGUACCCUGAAUCAAAGAAUUUUGGUUUAACACCACUGACAGUCUAAACAAGUUAAGUAUUGUUAUCUUCAUCUUCCAGGUGAAGUAACUCAGGCACAUGGCUCAAGAUUUACCAGGCAGCCUAACCAGAGUCUGCAUAUUUGGCUGAUACACUGUGCUGCCAAAGAGGAUUUUUUCUUUUUCAAGACAGAGUCCACUGUGUAGUCCAGGGUGGUCUCUAACUUGUGGCAAUCAUCCUGUCUCAGCCUUCCAACAGCUAGGAUUACAGGUGUAUACCACCAAACCAGGCAAGAGAACAAUGUUUUUAAGGGUAUUUUUUCCCAAAUCCAUUUUAUUUCAAGUAGAAAAAGAAGAAAAAAACUAAAACAAAAAUUCAAAACAUGUCAAUCAGAGGGUAAUAAUGGUACAUAUAUCGCACAUUGCUAUACCCAAAUUAUUUACCCAGAGCACAUUUGUGUUUAGUUGUCCAAACAUUACCGGCACAAAUCUUUCUCUUUAGUGUACUCAGAGAAAUUUGUAGUAUAUGAACUAUUUUUGUAUAACAUAUACAUAUGCGUAUGUUGUUUCUUUCAGCUUCUCACACAAAUGAGGCAAUACUAUGUAUAUCUUAUUAUUUCACUAAUGAGUAUGGUCUCAAGUUGCAGCCAUAUACCUAUAAAGUCUCCACUUUAUCCUUUUUAUGGCUGAGUAGUACUCCAUUGUAUAAAAUAUCACAUCUUUUUUAUCCAUUUCUCAGUUGGUGGGCAUUUGGGUUGUUUCAAAGAUGUAGCUAUUACAAAUUGUGCUGCUAUAAACAUGGGUGCAUAUAUAUCACUGUGGUAUGAUCUUUUUAAUUCUUUUGGGAAGAUGCCCAGAAGAUAAAUAGCUAGGUUGUACAGAACCUCUAAACCUAGUUUUUUGAGGAAUCUCCACACUGAUUUCCACAGUGGCUGCACCAGUCUACACUUCCACCAACAGUGGAGAAGGGUUCCUUUUUCCCCACAGCCCCUCCAGCAUUUGUUAUUGCUUGAUUUCUUAAUAUUAGCCAUUCUUUCUGGCAUGAGAUGGAAUCUCAGUGUUGCCUUUACAAUAUAAAUACUAACUGUAACAUCUAUUACUUUUGUUACUUUUGUGAACCAGCGUGUGUGUGUGUGUGUGUGUGUGUGUGUGUUUACAGGGAAUAUUAGUUUCUAGGCUUCAGCCAAGAUUUAUUAAAUAAAAUCUCUAAGACCAGGGAUAUAGCUCAGUAGCCCCACACCUGCCUGGCAAGCAAAAGGUCCUGAGUUUGAUUUCCCCAACCCCUGGAGAUUGAACUCACAAUGUUACACUUGCCAGGCAGGCAUUUAUGCUGCUGAGCUAAAUUCCCAGCCCCAAUUUUUUAAAUAAUAAUUUUAAAAAAUAAAAUCUCUAGCAUGGAAUUAUAUCAUCAUUACUGAUCAUGUCCUUCACUAAGAAUUCUUAUUUAUAAGAUCAUAAACCUCAUGGUGAAACUCUACCUAGAGUGACUAAAGUCUACAGAUAUAAAAUACACAGUACACACCUUUGUUACAGAAUGGAAGCUUUAUUCACUCUCAACAGGGCACAUCUUGAAGAGUUCUACCAACAAUACAGCUGCACUGGACCUAAAAAAACAGAUUUUGGGAGCUAGGGAUUUAGCUCAGUGGCAUAGGCACCUGCUUUGAAAGUGCCUAAUCAUGAGUUCAAGCUCCGGUACCAAAACAAAAACAAAAAAACAGAUCUUCUCAGCUAAAUUUCCCUAGUGACCCAGCGCAGAAUAAUGGAAGACAAUAAUUAAACACUCACUGAGGUUCAAAGAAGAAGAUAUCUCAACUUUGGUUUCAUUUGCCUGAACUACACAAGCAAGACUCAGGUAACAACCAACCAAAAUGGUGGCAUUCAACAUCCUGCAUUCUGUAUGGUAUUUUAAAAGCAAUCAGUGUAGUGCAUAAAAGAGGCCAAAACCUUUUCCCACUGCAUUGGAAUUCCACUGUUGUUUAAGCAUGGAAGCCCUGUGACCAAGUAGAGGGAAGAUGCCAGCCUCGCAGUUAAGAGACCCCUGCCUGCAAAGCUGUGUCCAGACCCCAUGGCGGGAUGGGAUAUGCCCCUACUCCAGGUUGUGGUUCCCUUUCAUCUCUUUCUUGUGAACUGGUGCCAAGCGUGGUGUGGGCUUGUGAGUUGGUGUAUUAAACCUAAAAAGCCUCCUGUUGGUCACAGCCAGAGAACUUCACUUCAGAUUUUAUAAUUGAACUCCAAAUAUUUUAAGUCCAAACAGAACACUCUGUGGAGGAUGCAGCACUGCAUUAUUUCAUAUGUGUUACCAUUUCAUAAUUAUUAUAUAAUUUCCAUCUUACAAUGUGUUUUUUGUUUGUUUGGUUGGUUGUUUUUGUAUCUGGCAUCAAACUCACCAUCCUACCCUUGCCAAGCAGGCACCUACAACUCUGAGCUUAACUCCCACCUCUUACAAUGUGUUCUUAAUGUCUUCUUACACUAAAUUAAUGAAUUAAAAUAAAUCACAAACAUUUAAUGUACUUCAGUUAUAAUUUGCACAUAGUAAUGCACAAGGACUUUGAACACAUGACUCUAAAUAAUACAAAAUUCAUUGAAUGAAAUACUAUUGAAUUCUAGGCAUUUUGUGACAAGAAAAAAAUAGUUUUGUAACAAAAGGUUGUUUUUUUCUUGCUGUGUAGUUCAGGCUGGCCUUGAGUUCACUAUGCAGCUCAGGGUGGCCUCAAACUCACAGCUAUCUUCCUGCCUCAGCUUCCCAAGUGCUGGGAUUACAGGUAUGUGCCAACACACCCAGCCACAAAAAAGUUUCUUAUAUCAGAUUUUUCUCUUAAACUGUUCUUCAUGUUUUAAUUGGAGCUUUCUCUAAAGAAUCACCUUAUAGUUUCAAAUCUUUUAUUUCUUUUUCUUUUUUUUUUUUUUUUUUUUUUUUUUUGAGACAGAGUCAUGCUAUGUAGUUCAUGGUGGCCUUGAACUUGCUAUGUAACCCAGGCUGGCCUCAAACUCAAUGAUCCUUCUGCCUUAGCCUUCCGAGUGCUGGGAUAAUGGGUGUGCCCAACCCAAAUUUCUUUUUGACACAUUAUGUAUACUCAUACUGGAAUCAAAUACCUGAAGGAAUUGGAAUCUUAUGAAUGCAGCCAGGACAACAGUGGACAGAGUCAUGAACAAAAACAUCACAGUCCACACAAAAUACAUUCUGGAACACAAUGCACACAUAGACCUGCAACAGAAAGAAGCAAAAGGAAUCAACCAAGAUAGUGUCUAGAAGUUAAGUGAAAAAAAUAAAUAAAAAAUAAACUGUUAAGUGAGCACAGCUAGAAGACAUUUAUGUUGCUUUGCUAAUUUAUAUUGGAAGCAAGCUUCCCUACCCACCUCGAGUACAUAUUUUCAAAUCUGAUGUGAUUUAUGUCCCCCCAACUAUCCUUAGAAAUAGAGAAAUGACUCUGAUUUGAUUCCUCAAAGUCUAUUUAUUUAUUUAUUUAUUUAUUUUUAUUGGUACCAGAGAUCAAACUCACGACUGCCUGCUUGCAAGGCAGGUUCUUAUGCCGCUGAGCUAAAUCCCCAGCUCCCCAAAGUCAAUUUAUUAUAACAUAUUCUCAGCUACUUCAUUUAAGUAACAACAUAGAGGAGUCAUGUGAGCACAAAUCAGUGCUAGCUAUCAAUGUUUAGAGGUGGUCAUCAGACAGAUCCGAGUAAAAAGAGAAGCACAAAAAUUUAACAUGGGUUUAGUUCUUUUUUUAAGAGGCUUUUUUUUUUUUUUGGCAUCAGGAAUUGAACUCGAGGUCUCAAACUUGCUAGGCAGGUGCUGCCCUGCUGAGCUGUAUCUCCAGCCCUGGGUUUAGUUAUUUUUAAGAGAACAACCUCACAACUGCAAAAAUUAUAUUCCUCUUUCAACUAAGCCAUUAGGCAGUAGGUCAACUGACACAUAGACAAUAAAAGCUCACAAGUCUAUCAGCAUUGCAUAUACAGAUACCUCUGAGUAGAGAUAAAACUUACUCACUAUAUCCUAACACACAAGUAAAGAUGAUGUGUUGUUUUGUUUUGCUUUGUUUUAGAGAAGAUCUCACUAUGUAGUUCAGGCUGGCCUUUGACUCUGGGUGAUCCUCAGCCUUCUAAGUGCUAAUAUUACAGGAAUGAGCCACCACACUCAGCUAGAUUAUGUUCUUAGAAACUAGAAAACAAGGGUUAGGGAUAUGGCUCGGCAGCACAGUACCUGCCUGGCAAGCAUGAGUUAGAGUCCCAGUACAAAAACCAAAAAAAACUGUAAAACAAUUGAAAAAGUGAUUUUAGUGAGGAUAAACUACAGAUGUCAAAGAGAAAUGUUCUAGAGAUUGAACCUUGGAUCAUACACAUUAAGUAGGCUCUCUACCACUGAGCUAUACCCCUCAUCUCAAGGACUGUAAAAUUUAAUAAAAUUAUUUUAUGAAACAUUCAUAUAUUGGUAAUAAAUCAUUCCAUAUAUGGAAUAAACAAGCAAUUUUUGUUUUGUUUUGUGGGGUGCUGGUGACUGAACCCAGGAUCUUAAAAUACAUACUGAACAUGAGCUUUACAACUGAGCUACACUGCUAGCCUCAAACAAGUAAUACUGCUAAUUAACACUUGAUAGACUUUGUAUUUUUAAAUAUGGAAAUGUCACUAAAUAUUAAAAAUAGACAUGACAUUUGCAUUUAUGUAACUUUAUAUAAUCACACUGACUACUUUCAAAAACUUCUUUUUAAGCUCUGCCAUGGUUGCUUGACAUGGAGCCUCGCUGUGUGGCUCAGGCCCAUGAACUCCAUCUCAGUCAGGCCCCUGACUGGCUGGGACUACAGGCAGGCACCACUAGCCUGGCUCUGUAUUAAAAAAUUUUAAAAAUGCUUCCUAAUACUAACAAUUUUUAUCUGUGGCCAACUUAAAUGAUAACUUCCAAAUGAGUCACAAUGGGGCCAGGGCUGGGCUGUAGCUCAGUAGUAGACGACUUUCCUAGUGUGGGUUAGGCCCUGGUUCUACCCCCUAGUAAUAAAAGGAAAACAAACACUUUAAAUAAACAAAAGCAGUUAGCUUAAAAACAGAAGACAAAGCACUAAAUGUCUUCAUACCAAAAUCAGAAUGCAGAAUUACAAAACUACUAUUUAGAUUAUUUUCCCCCAUUUUAUGUCUACUAAUUAGUAUAUAACUAUUUAUAGAAAAUAAGCUGAUGUAAGCCUGGUCUUCAACAACCUCCAGAAAACUUAUUAUAAUAUUAUUUUCUUAUGCAUAGCUUAUUAUUAGAAAGUCAAGACUCACAUGUUGGUCCUUCAGUUGCCCCUGACAUCCAUAACAAAAUCUGAAACAGAAAGUUUGAGAAUCAUUUUUUAAAAAAGAAUUCACUAGUUAAAAUGAUGUAACCAAGUUGGAGUAACUAGAAUCCCUUACUAAUUACUUCUAUACCAAACUUUGGCAGAAAGAGUUAAGAAUGCCAACAGUUUCUUAAAAUUCUACAGUAUGUUGGCUGUAUGUGUCAAUUGACCUACAGCCCAAAAUGUAGUUUUUGUUUUCAUUAAGGUUAAAUAUGCAUAUACUUCCUAAUUGGGGUUGUAGAAGAGAAUUAAGCCCUACAGAAAAUAAUUUACUAUUUUUAACUCUCCUAUACUUAGUAGAUACAAUCCUAGAUGAACAGAAGACACGUUAACUUCUUACACAGAAUGGGGGCCUAAUGGUUUUAUUUUCUUUCUUCUCAAAUUUUUUGUUUUCUGGCUGGUUUUUGAUAUAGGGUCUCUCCAGGUAGUUCAGGGUGGCCUUAAACUUGUGGCAACCUUCCUUCCUCAGUCUCCUGAGUGCUGCAGGUGUGCAUCCUCAAGGCUGGCAGUCUCACUUUCAAGGAACACUAUAAAGACCUGGGACUCGGGGUUCAGUGCAGUGCACGCCAAUUAUAUAUGAGGCCCUGGCUUGAUUCUACCCCAGAACUCUCAAAAAAACAAAGUUCUCUGUUUAUUACUGAAAACAGCAAUUCCCUGGCUCCUCCCCAUUUCAUUCCCAGCUCCCAGAGGCACUUUCAUAACUUUUAACCUUGUGCCAAGUGGGGUGGUGCUUGCCUAUAAUCCCAACACUGAGGCAGGAGGACUGCCGUGAGUUUGGGCCAGUGAGUUUAAGGUCAGCCUGAGUUAUAGAGUGAUACCCUGUCUCAAAAAUCCACAAACAUGGAAUUAAAAAAAACUAAACGAAAGGAAACUAAACUUGUAACUGUGAUAUUUACUUAUGCUUAUAUAAGUGCUAACUCCUGCUCUGUGAAUACUGGCUCUGAGCCUCCAACCAUGGAAGAUGAGAACUUAAUUCCUUCAGACUUCUUGGACUAACAGUGCAUACGUGUAAACUAAUGUCAUGCUCAUCCUUCUCUGUAAGUCUUUUUUUUUUUUUUUGAGACAGGGUCUUACUCUAUAGCUCAGGCUGGCCUUGAACUCACAGCAAUUCUCCUGCUGCAUUACAGGCAUGCACCACCACACCUGCCUGAACUCUAAUAUAUUUUCACUCCAAAGUCUGAACACUGAAAUUCUCUGUUAGCAUUCAAUAUUGUUGAUGAAAAGCCGAGCAAUUUUAAUCCCAGAUCCUUGACAUAUGACCUAAUUUUUCUCCUCUGGAAAUGUUUAGGGUAUUUCACUACAUAUUUGGAAAUUAUACAGUUAUAUACUUUAGCGUGGGUCUGGUUUUUUUCAAUAAAUUAACCACUUGACAGUCCUCUUUGACCAAGAAAAUACUAUUCUUCAAUAGUAGAAAACUUCCUUAAACUAUUUAUUUGAUGAUCUCCUAUUCUAUAUUUUCUCUUUUCUUUCUUUCUCACAUAUUCCUAUACUGGACAUUCUUGAAAAAUCUACCAGUUUGGAUUUUUUUGGUUUUUUACCUUUAUUGGGUUCUUCAUUUUAUGCCAUGUAUUCUACUUCUUGGAAUGUUUCUUCAAUUCUAUCUUUAAAUCUGUCUACCUCAAUCAUAAGUAAAUAAAUAAAGGCAAGUUAAAACAAUAAGAUUUUUUUUAAAAAGUUGGCCAAUAUAAAAAAUUUCAUAAUCCUAAUACUGUUCAAGUUUAAGCAAACAACAAAUGAAACCUCCUUAAAGGAUAUCUUUACAACGUCUAUUAAAUCACUUGUUUUUUUUCCUUUUUGAGGCAGGGUCUCAUUAUGUAGACCAGGCUGCUCUGGAGCUUACUAGGUAGCCCAGGCUGGCCUCUAACUCAUGGUGAUUCUCCUGCCUCAGCCUUCCAAGUGCUGGGAUUAUACAGGUUUUUACCACCACAGCUGCCUUAAAAUUCACAUAACUUUUGAUUCAGCUGUUCUACCUCUAAGAAUUUGUCAUGCAUUUAUACAUAUACAAAGUUAAAGUUAUUAACAUUAUUUGUUAAUACCAACUGAUUGGGGCUGGGGAUUUAGCUCAGUGGCACAAGCUCCUGCCUUGCAAGCAUGUGGUCCCCGGUACCGAUUUAAAAAAAAAAAGAACUGAUUAUAUAAAACAUGAUAAUAUCUACAUACACAAUUUUGAAAAAUAUUCCUCUAAGUGUGCUUAUAUGAAACAAUUUCCAAAUGAUUUUUCCGUUCUUAUUUUUUGGGUCACAAUUUUCUAUUUAACCCAGACUGGCCUGGAACUCAAGAUCCUUGUGCUUCAGUCUCCUAAUUGCUAGGAUUAUGGCAUGAACUAUCAUACAGUACAUCACUCUCACUAUGAAGGCUUCAGUACAUCACUCUCACUAUGAAGAGGUGAAAGUAAGGAAAUUAACAAUUUCUGGAGACACAGAUGUGUUUAAAAUGAGUUAUUUCAUUCAUAAACAAGGAUCCUCCCUGAUUAAACCCAGGGGUAUUCUACCGCAAAUCACAUCCCCAGCCCUUUUGUUAAACUUUGAGACAGGAUCUAAGUUGGUCAGGCUUUCCUUGAACUUGCAAUCCACCUGCCUCAGCAGUCUCUACAGCUGUGUUACAGGUAUACACCACUAGGUCCAGCUGUGUCUCAUUUUCUAUAUCAGAAGUAAUCUUACUCAAGUUAAUAACUAUUUUUUAAAAGGCAAUGACAAUCUACUCAAACAUUAGUUCGCCAUUAUGAAGAGAUAUAAAUAAAUCAAAACUCAUACCUUUCCCCUUUAUAUUCUUCUAGGGGAAUUUCUUGAAAAGCAUCCAAGGGAAAUAAAUGAUGAUACAACCACGCCAAGUGGGGAGCUGAGACCAAAGUAAGACCUAACAUACAAACAGAAGCAUGUUUAAUCAGCCACACCUCAUAGAGACAACAGCUAAGCAGCCAAAUCUGUAACUCAGCCUAAGCACUUGCAAGUGUUUUUAGGGGAGUUUUGUUUUUUGCAGUGCUGGAGGCUGAAGCCAGGCCGUGCUGCAGGCUUGCCAGCCCUUCCACUGCUGAACUCCUUCCCUGGAGAGUGAGCGGCAUCUGUUGCUGCUCGGUGCUCAGUUUCCUUGGACCACAGGCGUGUCCAGGGGUGAGUAAGCUCUGUCACUACACAUAUUACCUCUCUAGGCCUAUUUGCUUACUUGUAAAUGAAAUAGACUUUAUAUAUUAUGUUUAUUCUUGGUAAUGUAGUACUGGACAUUCAAUUUAAAAAGUAAUCUACUUCUCUUUGCAAAAAGUAAAGCCACACCAGGCCUGAUGACACACACCUGUAAUUCAACACUCCAGGAGGCUCAGCCAAACACUUUGCAAGUUUGAGCCCAGCCUGGGCAACUUAGUCAGACAUUGUCUCACAAGUAUAAAAAGGGCUGGGGAUGCAGCUCAGAGCAGAGAGUGGGUACUGGGAUCAAGCCUCAGUACCACACACACACACACACACACACACACACACACACACACACACACACAAAUACAUACAUACAUAUAUACACAUAAAUACCCAGAAACCUAGGUGGAAUUCAACAUUUGCAUUUUUUAACAUUUAUUUUUACCAGUAUAAUAGAUAAUAAAUUAUUUGAAAUUAAUUUACUAAAUAAUGAAUAACUGGGUUCUUACCACACAUUUUACAUUCAACAGGAAGCUCACAGUACUUUGCCCAACACUGUGGGUAGAAAUAGCCUCCUAAUGCAAGUCCUGGUUCAGAACUGCUAUCCAGGUGCCUGUGGGGGAAAAAAUUACUUUAAAGAUGAUGCAUAUAAAGAUGUAAAAAGUAAAAAAAAAAAAAAAAAAAAAAUUUAAAAUUCAAAACUAAAGAAAGUAUGUUGCACUCCUGUAAUCCCAGCACUUGGGAGGCUGAGGCAGGCGACUGUUGCACGUUUGAGACCAGCCUGGGCUACAAAGUGAGCCCAACACCAGCCUGAACUGCACAGUGAGAUCUAUCUCAAAAAAGACAAAAAAAAAAAAAAGGAAAGAAAGAAAAAGAAAAUAUGUUACCUUGACUUUAAACUCUGGAUUUCAAAAAUUUUUAAUUUUAUUUGAAAAUGUGUGUGUCAUUUAAGUGACCACAUACCUCCCUCUUCCUCUUUUUUAAAAAAUAUUUAUUGAGACAGGGUCUUGCCCAGCCUGGCCUUGAACUCUUUGAUCUUCCUGCCUCAGCCUCCCCACUAGGAUUACAGGCAUGUGCCACCACACUUGUCUGUGUGACUAUUUCCUCUAGAACAGUAAAUGUAGUCCUUAUUAUACCUUUAAUGGAAGGAGGCCUGUGACUUGGAAAAAAUCACUUUCUUUUUGUUUUUUAAUUAUAUAAAGUGCUGAAGUUCAAACAAGGUAUACUUAGUAGAAGUCCAGGUUCUAUCACUUUGCCUUUCCUUAAACACCAACACACUCUUUAGUUUUCACUCCCUAUAUCCAUUACUAUUGUUUUUAUGCUGAGCACAACUGAAUCAUCUCACAUCGCUUCCUUCUUUUUAGAUAGAUGGUAGCAAAUUACACACCUUCUCUCUUCCUUAUACUGACAUUUCCUGAAGAUCUCACUACAGAAAUAUACUGUAUAUAGUCAUUCCUUUUUAUGGCUAUCUAAACGGUAAUUUUUUUUUUUUUUUUUUUUUUUGAGACAGGGUCUCACUGUAAUUCAGGCUGGCCUUAAAUUCACAGUGAUCUUCCUGCCUCAGCCUCUAGAGUGCUAAAUUUACACAUGUGUACCAUCACACCCAGGUCAAAAGGUAAUUUUUAAUUACAAGCCACAUUUCAAGCCCAUCUUUUAAUUUAUAAUUUAGAGCAAUGAAUUUUAAGUGCUAAAAAAUUACUGGUCUUUACUUACGCCAUGCUGAAAGAAGGUUUUGCAUCUUGAUCAGCCAAAGCAGCAAUGGUAUGCUGAGGAAAUCCUUCACAGAAAAGAUAAAGUAUUAAUUUCUCUUAUCAAGCAAAAAGCACAAUUCUAGGGGUAGGAACCUAAAAAUGUUUCUACCAGAGAGCCAACAAAGUUGUACAAAAGCUGUUUUCAAAAAAACAGUUGUUUUUCCAUCUCUUAGGAGAUAUAUAUGUGUAUGCUUAUUAUCCUAUCUGAGACUAACUGUAAACCUGCGCUACUGUAAAGAAAAAAUAGAGGAAUGAGGGAAAGAUAGGUCUACACAUGACCUCAGAUUCUGAAGUUCUUAUCUAUAUUUUCUUUUCUUUCUUUUUUUUUUUUUGGUACCAGAGAUCAAACUCACAACUUCAUACCUGCCAGGCAGGCAGUUGUGCCACUGAGCUAAACCUCCAGUUGCCUAUAUUUUCUUUUUGGGAGUUUUCUUUUUGCUUUGUUUUUUCCAAGGCAAGGUCUCUUGCUUUGUAGAGAGGGCUGGUCAUGAGCUUGUAGUGAUCCUCUUGCUUCAGCCCCAAGUGCUGGGAUUAUAGGUGUGUACCACCACAUGCAGCAUAUCUAUAUCCUCUAAUUUAAUAACAACACUGUCUUUUUGGGUGUGUGUGUGUGUGUGUGUGUGUGUGUGUGUGUUGUGCUAGGAACUGAAUCCAGGGCCUUCACACUAAGCUACAACCUCAUCCCCUUUUAUAAAUUUUGUGACAAGUCAUUGUGCUAAGUCAUUAAGCUGCCUCAGGCUGGUCUCCAAUGUGGGAUUCCCCUGCCUUAGGCUUCCAGAGUGUUGGCAUUACCAGUCAGUGUGUGACAUAAAACAUGGCCCCCAAAAAAAUCCAACUCAAAUUUUAAAAUAACUUAAGUAAAUGAAAACAGAAAGCCUCAUAUGAAUAUGUAUUUUUAAAAUAACAAAAUAAACACAUACCCAUAUGAAUAAGGGAGCAUUCAGAACUUGAGCUGGCAGGAGGAGGACUAACAUGAUGCGUUAGCAAUUCUUUGUAGUGGCUUUCAUCUAAAAUCUCAUGGUAUGUGCCUAACAAGAAACAAACAACAGCUUUACACAUGUAAGAACACAUUACAAUUUCUAUGUAGUCCUGUAAAAGCUUUAACAUCUACAAAUGCACAUCUUCAAAAUUAAGAUUUUAGUUAAAUUGUCAUUUUUAAGAACUUUAUCUCUAAAUAGGUAUCUCUAAGAACAGUAAUUACAAUUUGAUUAAAAGCCGUCAUGAAAUCUUUAGAAAGUAUUACACACAGUAAAAUUUCUAGCUUUUCAAGAGUUAUGCUUUCUCUAAACACAAACAUUACUGAAAUUUCCUUCCCCUUUGAGGUGAUUUCUCAAUGCAAAAUAUAUUUAAGAUGACUUCAUAUGCUAGACUAUGGAUAUGAAAUAAUUUAGAUUCAGUGGCUUACGACAGCCGCCUAGCUUAGUCAGUGAAUCCUUACAUGAUGAUUAUGAAUAGAGAGUGAACACAGUAGACAUACACUUCCAGUUUCCCGAGCAAGUCCAGUGCAAACCCGAACCUCUGCUGACAUCCCAAUGACACACAUUUUAGCUGUUUUCAGGGUCUUCAUCAAAUCCAAGAAAAAGAAGAAUUAAGAAAAGUAUUUAAUUAAGAAUUAAUGUACUUGAAAAAUAAUGCUCUGGACACAGUACAGAAUUCUCUUUAGUGUUUUAACUUUGGGUUUUUUUGUUUUUUGGGGGCCCCAGGGAUUAAGUCCAGGGUCUUUCCACUGAGCCACAUUCCCAGCGCCCUUUUAAAAGUCUUAUUUUUAUAGCAUUUAAAAAAUCAUUUUAUCAGUACAUGAAUACAGUGCAAAAUGUUUGUACUUUUUGUGUAGUGUACUUGUACAUAAGACAUUUUAAUUCCUUUUUUCAUCCCCUUUCACUUUCCCUUUCCUUUUUUCUUUUUGAGACAAGAGUCUCAUUGUACAGUUUAGGUUGGGUUUAAACUCACUAUGUAGCUCAGGCUAGCCUUAAACUCAGGGUAAUCCUCCUGCCUCAGCCUCCGGAGUGCUGGGAUUACAGGGGCGUACAGCCAUGCCUGGCUCCUUCUCCCCUUAAAACAGUUUUUUUUGGUUUUGUUUUGUUUUGGGGAAACUGUUUCUUUUUGUAGUUUGGGCUGGCUUUGAACUCACUAUGUGGCCUAAGCUGGCCUCAAACUCAUGGCAAUUCUCCUGCCUCAGCCUCCAGAGUGCUGGGAUUAUGGGCUUGUGCCACAAUGCCUGCCAAAAAAAUUGUGAGAUAGUGUCUCACUAAAUCAGUAGGUUGCCCAGGCAAAUGUACUCUCAUUAAGUUAUAGCAAACUGUACCCCCAAAAAUGUAUCUAAAAGGAACAAUAUUCAUGCUUUAUACAUUCAGACUAUAGAAUAUCUCAUUUGUCUCAACAUUGUAGGGAAAUGAAUUGAGAAUGUUUUAAAUACAUUUUUUUUUUCUCUUUUUCAGUGCUGAGGACAGAGUUCAGGACUCGUGCCUGACAGGCAAGUGCUCCUUAUGUUCAUUUUUCAAAAAAUGAGCUAUAAAGCCAGGUAUAUUGGUGCACACCUGUCAUCUCAGCACUUGGAAGGCUGAGGUAGGAGGACUGCUGUGAGUUCGAGGCCAGUCUGGGCUACAAAGUGAGCCCAAGGCCAGUCUGAACUUCAUAAAGAGACCCUGUCUCAAAAAGACUGAAAGAGGGGCUGAGGAUUUAGCUCCAUGGCAUAAGCACCUGCCUUGCAAGUGCAAGAUCGGAAGUUUGAUUCCUAGUACAAAAAAACAGAAAAAAAAGAGCUAUGUAUUUUUUACAUAAUUAUUUAUGGAAAUACACAGAAAGGUCUCUCAAAUUCUAGGGAAAGAAUGAUAAAUGAUACUGACUGAGCCCCUGACAUUAUGAAGCUUAUAGUCCAAUAGACUUCUUUCAUAUGAAGUCGAACGUGUACAGUGAGAAACAGGACUAUACAGUAGGGUCAGCUUUAAGGUAUGCACAUAUGGUUUAACAACAAUAACAAUUAAAUGACCACCCAAUGAGGGGUGAAGCUGUGUGAGCUCUUUCUAUGCUAGAAAGGGAUUUCUGUCAUUUUUGGAGCAAGUUUACCAGUUAAUUAUAUGUUUCAUUAUUAUCCUCCCCACUAACAUCUGUAGAUACCACUGGAGAGCUUGCUUUUAUGAUUUUUGUUAUGUACUUAUCUAUCUCAAAAGUAAAAGUUUUCUUUGGGGUUUGCUACAACCCACACAGCUGGACUUGCAGGAACCGUGUACUAUUAAUUUAUAUAUAUACUGUCAAACAGGUUAAUAAAUGUCAGUGAAAUACAAUCAACUCAUACUACACUACAUGCCACUUGUGAUCCCUAAACCUUUGGCAGCCCUGUACUGAGAAAUGAACCCAGGCCCUUCACACUGAGCUAUAUCCUCAGCCCACCUCCCACUCUCUUUCUGUGAGACAGGAUCUUGCUAAGCUGCCCAGCCUGGGCUCAAAUUUCCAAUCCUCCUGCCUCAGCCUCUCAGGGUGCUGGAAGUAUACAUGCGCGUUGCCACACAUAGCUAGUUCUCCUACUUACCCACUUUGUUAUAACUGGCUUUAUGGAGACUUCGGUUAACAUAUUCUCAUUUCAAUUAAUUCAUUAAAAACUUCUAAACCAACUUUCAGUAAGAAAUGUAAAAUACUAACUUUAGAGUCUGCAUGGCCAUGCUUAAGGAAUUAUAAAGAGAUGGUUCUCCAUGACAGGUCAUAUCAGUAGCUUUCUUCAAAGAUGUUAUGUGUUUCCUUGGGUUUCCUUAAAUUAAAUGGAACAAUUUGCUUUUAUAAAAUGCCAUUAAAAAAUACCAUACAUACACUAUGAACAUGUUGGGCAAUCCAUUUGGGACCUUGCUUGUUUCUAUUCCCCCCACCCAUUUUCCCAAUAAAUUUUUCUAUGCUUAAUUUUUUUUUUUUUUUUUUUUUUGUCUUUUUCAUUUUUUAUCGGUACCAGGAAUCGAACUCACGACUGCCUGCUUACAAGGCAGGCACUUAUGCCGCUGAGCUAAACCCCCAGCCCCUCUAUGCUUAAUUUGUAAAAAAAAAAAAAAAAAAGUGCCAAUUUUGUGUCGAGGUCUCACUGUCUCACUAUGUAAGUCUUGACCUUUCUGUGCAAUCCAAGCUGGUCUUGAUCUCAAGAUCCUCCUGCCUAAGCCUCUCAAGCAGCUACGAUUAUAGACAUGCCCACCGUAUCUGUUCCAGAGGAUUUUUAAUCUUCAUACAUAUGACCUCAGUGGCACACAAAAUUCCUCUACAUUUGGGGUGGAAAAGUCAAGACAGGAGGGAGCAGCUCCUGCCACCAUCAUGUAACCAUCCUGUUUGGCCCAUGCUGUGCUGAGCCUGCGGCCAUCCUGCCUCCAUUCUGCUUGGGUCACAGGAUUACAACCCCAGGUGGUGGCCAAACUCCUCACUGUCCUGUGGUGCUGGUAGCUCAUGGGUAGGCAGAUGGUGAAACCAAAGUCUCUCUGCACCUGGGUGUAGCUGGACAAGGGCCAUGCAGGCAUAAGGCUGCUGUCAGAGACCUUUUCAUCUCCCAGGAACCUGACCAAAGGCUGAAGCCAGACAAGGCCUGAUGCUUAGAAACAACUACCACAUGUGUCAGCACAGAACACAGAGGGCACAGAGAAUUAAAACAUGCUUCGGAAAGUAAGCUUCUAAAACUACAAACUGAGAAUAAAAAAACUGAGAAAGGAGCUGGGCAGUAUGGAAAAUUCAGACAAGAUAAACACCAUGCAACAAAGCCUACAGACAGAGAUGGAGCUUGCUACAGUUACUCAACAUGUGUUCCAGAACGUCAUUUUGGGGUGUAAAGUCAACUGGGCAGCAGAUCCAGCACUCAAGGAAACUGUUCUGCAGCUUGAAAGGCUCUCACCGCAAUCUAACAAGAAUUCCACUGGGCCAGGUGUUGCCAUGUGUGCCUUUGAUCUGAGCACUCAGGAGGCUGAAACAAGAUUGCCACAUGCUGAAGACCAGCAAAGAUUUGUACCUUGCAGUUUUUGGAAUUUUGUCUCUGUCUCUUCUGGUUCCAGAUGAAAUUUAGGAGUGAUUUCUCUAUAUCUAUAAGCUCCUGAGACUCUGGCACCCGCUACCCCAAGCCACUGGGCCUGCAGAACCAAUGGCCCUCCUCUGCCUGCUCAGAACUUCACAGUUCCAGACAAGCUGGGCCUCCGGGACACUGUGCGCCCACCUGCCCGAUGGAAGCUCCACAGUUCUCCAAUCGCAGCCGGGAUGUGGAGGCAGAUGUAGACGCCUCAAACCCACCUCUCCACUUCACUGCACCUGGAAGCCUGGAGGGACCCAAACAGUCUGGGCUCUGGGCAGAAUGCGCUGAGCACUCACCAUAGGAUGCAGGGCCUCCAGAACCCGUGAUGCUCCACCGCCCGUGGAGACAUCCACAGUCCUCUAGACACACGGGGCUGCCGAUGCAGGCGCCCCAGAUCUGCCCAGCCCCUCCUCUGCACACCGUUGGCUAGGCGCAGCAGUCCCAAACAGGCUGGGCUCCGGGGAGAGCGUGGGCCCGCCCACCCCUUGGAAGCUCAGCAGUUCUCCAAGUGCAGCCAGGAUGGGGAGGCGGAUGUAGAGGCCUCAAACCCACUUCUCCACUUCACUGCACCCGGAAGCCUGGUGGGUCCGGAACAGUCUCUAUUGUAAUGUAUUUUAAUGUAAUUUAAUUGCCCAUAACAGUUGUUAAUUACUGGGAUAGCUGAAAACUGCCUGAAGAAGUUAAACUUGGAGCCCUUUUUAUAUUUUUAACUUAUGACACACUUUCAUAGCCUUUGAUUAUAUUUUUUGCUGGAUGUUUAAGACCAAGUUAAAUUGAGACCUGUGUUAAUUAAAACUAACCUCUUGCUAUCUGUCAAGGGCAGGUAAGUCUCCUCAGGUUUUGUCUUGGAACCAUGUAUGGAGCCUCUCAGUUCUUGACAGUUUCAGCCAUCAGGAUGGUCAAGCAAUGAGCCAUUGCUUGACCAAGUUGGUUUCUGUGAAAGCUUGGGAGAGAUUUCUCCUGGUGACUCUCCUUAGGCACACUGUAUACUGUGUCACACUUUUUUGUAGUCCAAUAAUCUCCUUGAUCACAAGACCCACGGAGAUAAGGAAUGUCACUGCAGAGGUUCUCUUAUAUCCUGGGUCUCCAGUGACCUCAGAAGGCUGGAGCCAAAAUAUUGGUUGUCCUCCCAGCCCAUUCUUCUUUUUAGUUUUUGGUCUCCAACCACCUAUUGUUGAACAUCAAGAAGUAAGGAUUGGUAAUAUUAUAGUGUAAUAAGGCAGCAUGUUUAACAUUAUUACCUUCUCUGAAUGUCAAGGACCUUAGAACAUAAAAAAGCAACCAGUAUUUCUAUCAAGCAUUGAUGUCCUAGUACUUGAACCCACGGAAAAUGUUGACGGUUACAUAGUUUUCACAAAUGACAAUUAUGACACUUUGUGUCAAUCUGAAUUUGCAUUUUGACCUAAGAUACCCCUUUUAGUCAAUCACCUCUAUCUAGUAUGUAAGCUUUCACCUGACUGGUUUACCUUAAUGGAAUGUGCAUGCAGUGUGUUUGUGUUACAGGCAGAGGUCUGAAUCUGAAACAAUUUGUUAAACAAUCUGUGUUUUACAUUUUUGGAAGGAAGACCUGUACAUAUGGAAGCAAGAAUACAUUAAUACACUGUAAAGUUAAUAACAAUCUAUCAUUUUAUUUGAAA